CCCUUAGAUGUUCUGGGCCGCACGCGCGCUACACUGAUGCAUUCAACGAGCACCCGCUGGGCCGAGAGGUCCGGCUAAUCUUUGAACGUGCAUCGUGCUGGGGAUAGAUGAUUGCAAUUAUUCAUCUUCAACGAGGAAUUCCCAGUAAACGCAAGUCAUCAGCUUGCAUUGAUUACGUCCCUGCCCUUUGUACACACCGCCCGUCGCACCUACCGAUUGAAUGGUCCGGUGAAAUUCUCGGACGCGGACUAGCGAUGUUAAUUCGGAGCUUGACUGUGAAAGUUAAUUAAACCUUACCAUUUAGAGGAAGGUGAAGUCGUAACA
rnacentral:rRNA from 1 species